AGCCCAGAGCCUGAAUCAGUGUGUGUGUUAGUGGAAGCGUCUGGAAAGGCGCGCGAUACAGGGUGACAGCCCCGUACACAAAAAUGCACAUGCUGUGAGCUCGAUGAGUAGGGCGGGACACGUGGUAUCCUGUCUGAAUAUGGGGGGACCAUCCUCCAAGGCUAAAUACUCCUGACUGACCGAUAGUGAACCAGUACCGUGAGGGAAAGGCGAAAAGAACCCCGGCGAGGGGAGUGAAAAAGAACCUGAAACCGUGUACGUACAAGCAGUGGGAGCACGCUUAGGCGUGUGACUGCGUACCUUUUGUAUAAUGGGUCAGCGACUUAUAUUCUGUAGCAAGGUUAACCGAAUAGGGGAGCCGAAGGGAAACCGAGUCUUAACUGGGCGUUAAGUUGCAGGGUAUAGACCCGAAACCCGGUGAUCUAGCCAUGGGCAGGUUGAAGGUUGGGUAACACUAACUGGAGGACCGAACCGACUAAUGUUGAAAAAUUAGCGGAUGACUUGUGGCUGGGGGUGAAAGGCCAAUCAAACCGGGAGAUAGCUGGUUCUCCCCGAAAGCUAUUUAGGUAGCGCCUCGUGAAUUCAUCUCCGGGGGUAGAGCACUGUUUCGGCAAGGGGGUCAUCCCGACUUACCAACCCGAUGCAAACUGCGAAUACCGGAGAAUGUUAUCACGGGAGACACACGGCGGGUGCUAACGUCCGUCGUGAAGAGGGAAACAACCCAGACCGCCAGCUAAGGUCCCAAAGUCAUGGUUAAGUGGGAAACGAUGUGGGAAGGCCCAGACAGCCAGGAUGUUGGCUUAGAAGCAGCCAUCAUUUAAAGAAAGCGUAAUAGCUCACUGGUCGAGUCGGCCUGCGCGGAAGAUGUAACGGGGCUAAACCAUGCACCGAAGCUGCGGCAGCGACGCUUAUGCGUUGUUGGGUAGGGGAGCGUUCUGUAAGCCUG
rnacentral:rRNA from 1 species